rnacentral:tRNA from 1 species
AGGCGCGAGGUAUGAGGUUAUGUAUUGCCUUCACACGGCAGGGGUCACAGGUUCAAUCCCUGUCGCACCCA